UUGAUUGCGAAUCGUUGCCUUCUGUGCUGGCCAGCUCUCUGGCAAGUGCACGUCGGUGGCUUUCAUCCAAUACCCUGUGCACCUUUGGCCUUUGCUAGCUUCGGCCGGCAGAGGAAUUUACACACACUCGAAUGUAAUGAAAUUAUUGUCGUGCGCAAGCACUAAUGUA
rnacentral:misc_RNA from 1 species